AGUGAACGCUGGCGGUAGGCCUAACACAUGCAAGUCGAACGGCAGCACAGUAAGAGCUUGCUCUUACGGGUGGCGAGUGGCGGACGGGUGAGGAAUACAUCGGAAUCUACUUUUUCGUGGGGGAUAACGUAGGGAAACUUACGCUAAUACCGCAUACGACCUACGGGUGAAAGCAGGGGAUCUUCGGACCUUGCGCGAUUGAAUGAGCCGAUGUCGGAUUAGCUAGUUGGCGGGGUAAAGGCCCACCAAGGCGACGAUCCGUAGCUGGUCUGAGAGGGUGACGGGCGACAUUGGGACUGAGGUACGGCCCAGACUGCUACGGGAGGCAGCAGUGGCGAGUAUUACACAAUGGGCGGAAGCAUGAAGAAGCAACGGCGUGUGCGGGAGGACGGCCGUCGGGAUGCAAACCGCUUUCGCCUGUGACGAAGCGUGAGUGACGGUAAUGGGUAAAGAGGCACCGGCUAACUACAUG
rnacentral:rRNA from 1 species